UACAAUUGUAAAGGAACUUGUCUUCUUACCCAGAAUACUAACGUAGAAAACAAGACUGGAACUCGUAUCAAAGACUUUAUAGGCUUUCCAACACUUCGGCAACAUUGAAUAAUGACAUUUUAAAUGAGGGACCUCAGUAAUCAUAACCUUCUUCAGUUACAUCCAAAAGUGUGAAGCUUUGCUUGCGGACGUGGCAACGUUGAAUUAGAAUAUUUUUUAAAGGAGUUCGUCAUUGGUUGAGAUGUUUUCACUCCAAACUAACGGUAUCAGAGCUGCAGCCGAAGACUGAUCUGGGACCACGUACCACGUACACUAACCCCGCCCACCAGCUGUCAAUCACAGCCGGGAGGAGGUGACCCGUAUAAUAAUAAACCAAAACCAUCCGCUACCAAGCCGAGCCAGGCCGGGCUAACUCGGGCACAUGCACUAACACCUGUCAGCACUCACCGGAGCAGACUCCGUCCUCCGGGUCUCCGCAGGGAAACAAACCGGACCGCAGCACCGGGGCACGUGCACUGGAAGUCUUUUUAGUGCAGGAAACGCGUUUCCGUCCAACGUCUCCUCCUCUUGCGUCAUGUGAUCGUCCCAGCCAAUGAGAAGUCAGAUUACCGGUCACGUGGGGUCGGAGCUGUUUCCGGGUCUGUAGGAGGAAAGACACGGCGGGACUGACAGAGACAACAUGACCAAUAAUAAUAAUAAUAAUAAUAAUAAUAAUAAUGAUGAUCGAUAACUGACUGAGCCACCUGUCUGUGUGCUCAGCUGUCUGUGUGCUCAGCUGUCUGUCGUCAUGUCCUCACAGAGUGGUGCUAAAGCUCUGAUCAUCACAGACGACGAGCAGGCGGACGCCGCGGACCUCAACCCGUUCUCCUUCAGAGAGUUUCUGCGCUGGAAGAACCUGGACCCAGAACAAGACCUGGACCUGGAGCACAAACAGGGGUUGUUUGAGGACAUGACCUUUGACCCUGAGGUGAGGAGCAGCUUCUUCUCUGAGCCGUCUCUGGCCUCACAGGAGGAGUGGAGGCGGAGCUUCCAGUCAGGUGUAGAGAGCACCUCCUCCCUCUGCACAGAGGAGGAGGAGGAGGAGGAGGACGGGGAGGAGGAGGAGACCAGGUUCUCCUCCAAACCUGAUGUCCAGCAGGGAGGAGGAGGAAGAGGAGGAGGAGCAGCAGGAGAAGCAGGAGGAAUAGGAGGACGAGGAAGAGGAGGAGGAGCAGCAGCAGGAGGAGCAGAGAACUAUGAAGGAGAUGAUGAGACCUCGAUGGCUGAAGCCGUCACCUCCUGCAGGAGGAGGAACACGAGCAGCCAGACACCACAGUUGCAGGAGGAGAACAUGUGUUUGAGGAGAUCUCUCAGGGAGCUGCAGAGGAGCUCCGAGGCCAAUGAACGCAGGGUGGCGGAGCUGUCGGAGGAGCUGCUGCAGAGAAGGCGUCAGGAGGAGAAGGAGGCUCGAGAUCUGGAGAGCAUGGUUCACUCUGUGGAGCAGAACCUGCACCGGAUGACGUCUGUCUCUCUGCCUGUCUGUCUGACUCUCUGUAUGUCUCUCUGCCUGUCUGUCUGUCUGUCUGACUCUCUGUCUGUCUGUCUGUCUCUCUUUCUGCCUGUCUGUCUCUCUUUCUGCCUGUCUGUCUCUCUGCCUGUCUUUAUCUCUACAGAAGCGAGCAGUGAAAGCGGAGCUUUGUGUCUCCAGACUGAAGGUGGAGCUGCAGCAGCUGCAGGGGGAGGCGGACUCUCUGCGUUUGCAGAACGACGGUCUGAAGGAAGCAGAGUCUGAGGUCGUUAUGACGAUGAGACAAAACGCUCAGGUGGCGUCUGAGUACCUGAACAAGACGGCGAGCGACGCCCACUCCUGCAUCCGUCAGCUGUUGGGGGGGGCAGAGACUCUAUCUCUCGUCUCUCAGCUGCUGCGGUCCAUCGAUAAGAUUUCCUCUCUGGACUCAGAGUCCUGAACUCACCUGGAGAAAUAAAGUUUAACAAAAUAAAAGACUUCCUGCAGACUUUGUUCUCUGGCUGAUGGAGGACGCUUUAUUUUGAAAGUGAGGAUAUGAAGCUUUGAUGACAUCACAGCAGCUGGAGUGCUUCUGAUUGGACUGCUGCAGCUGGUUAUCAAUGAACUCUGAUGUUUCAUGAGAAAUGACUUUAUUAAAUCAGCUCUUUAUUUACAUUUAGAGAAAUCUGCUCUCAGGAAUAAUGAUGUGUGCUUAUCUUAGCUUAGCUUAGCUUAGCUUAGACAGGAAACAGCUAGCAUGCUACAUCUCGUUUGUUCAAUCUGAACACAAAGUGAAAUAUUAAAGUUUGUGGUUUCUGUUGAAGUUACAGGAUUAUAUUUAGUUUAAUAUCUUUUAUUUAAACACAAUUAUCUUAAAACAUCUGAGAGGAUUUCACUGAUUGUGGAACAAACUAAUCUUUAUAAAUAAGUGUAAAUAUGUUUUAUACCAAGUGAAACUUUAUUGUUAUUAUUAAAUAGAUCCAGUUUCAUUGAGCACAAAGAGAAAUAUUUAUAUAUUUAACUUCCGUUAAAUAAACGAUAAAUAACUUCUCAGAUAGCUUCAUCGUACAAGUUUGAGGUACUUGUACUUCACUUGAUUAUUUCCAUUUGCUGUUACAUCUCAGAGGAAAUAUUGUAUUUUAAAACUGUACCAUAGCUUCUUCAUCUUCUUCAUCUUCAGCAUGAAUAUUAUUACACUGUUGCAUAUUUUAAGUUUUUACACAUUUAUUGAUUAAGCACAUUUUAGUUUAAUGUCUCUGUUUUUCUAUGUUUUAUUUUAAAGUAUUUCUGGUUCUGAAGAUAAGUUUGAAUCAGUAAAUGUUUGAACUUG